CAGAAAAUAAUUUAUAUAGAAUAACAAUUUUGGAUAUUGUAAGAAAAAUUAAAUUUUCUUUCUGA
rnacentral:tRNA from 1 species